GUUUCAAGGCUGUGUGUCAAGUAGCGUCUGUGAAAACCUGACGGAGUUGGCUCCCCUGGUGUCUUUGUCUCCUGGCCCAUUCUUUGAGUGCUGUCAUGGGAACUUCUGCAAUUCACAGAAUUUAACAUUGACCUGUAGGAUAUCGACUGACCAGAAUCAAACUGUGACAUGCAAUUCCAAGUGGAGGUCAUGUGCAAAUAUUACAGUAAUUAAUCGUUUAUUUGAUAGUUACUUCUGGAGUUCUGUUACUAGCGACUGUUUAAGUCAAGAUCAGUGCAAUACGACCUUAUCAUUUAGCUACCCGG